AGCACCUCAAACUGUCAGUUGCAUUUUGUAACCGGACUGCACAUUCAGCAUUUCGCAUUCUUUCUACCAAUUCAUUUCUGAAAAAGGAAGGAGACCUAAAUAGUCUCUUCCUCGUAUACAAUAUUUAGUAGCAAGCAACCAGUCACUGCUUUCUAUUUUGAGACCUCUUGCAUGUUGAGACCUCUUGCUACUGCUGCUGUGGACACCAUCAGACUCGAGAUUUCGUUGAUUCGCAGUAAUCCUCUUUGUAAGUGAACAAAUCAGUAUCAAACAUGUCGACGAGCGAUGCCUCGACCAAGGGAGCCAACCCCAACUCCAUGACUCGAUCGCCCUCCGAGUCGCCCAGGGGAUCUUUCAUGAGUCAGCAGGUUCCAGCAGGUACCCGACGAUACUCGAUGAACUUGUCACCCGAAAUUAUUCAACAAUUGGAACAGAGACGCGCAAGCCUUGAAAAGCUACAAAUCGAGAAAAUCUCACCUUGGAUGCAUUUGUAUGACUUUACCGUGUCUGGAGAGAAUUGAGUAAAGUGACCUCAGAAUAUUGAUAAUUAAAUUGUGUUAUCCGUUCAGUGUCAUCUUACGAUAAGCCAACAACUGGUAUUUUAGUAUUACCCGUGUAUCCCUGUAUGCAUUUAACACUUUAUUUCAGUUUAUCAGAAAGAAAUAUUCUCAUUUAUAGUAAUAAGUCUAUGGAUUACUAUUAUCUUUAAAUCCAGAUCAUAUAAAAAUGCGCUAUGUAUUUAUUAAUUACUACAAUUUUAAUUUACUGAGUAUAAAUAAUUUGUCUUAACUUCGUUGGAAAAUACAUAAUACAUACAUACCUUCCUA